rnacentral:rRNA from 1 species
UGCAUUCGAAACUGGCAGGCUUGAGUCUUGUAGAGGGGGGUAGAAUUCCAGGUGUAGCGGUGAAAUGCGUAGAGAUCUGGAGGAAUACCGGUGGCGAAGGCGGCCCCCUGGACAAAGACUGACGCUCAGGUGCGAAAGCGUGGGGAGCAAACAGGAUUAGAUACCCUGGUAGUCCACGCCGUAAACGAUGUCUACUUGGAGGUUGUGCCCUUGAGGCGUGGCUUCCGGAGCUAACGCGUUAAGUAGACCGCCUGGGGAGUACGGCCGCAAGGUUAAAACUCAAAUGAAUUGACGGGGGCCCGCACAAGCGGUGGAGCAUGUGGUUUAAUUCGAUGCAACGCGAAGAACCUUACCUGGUCUUGACAUCCACAGAACUUUCCAGAGAUGGAUUGGUGCCUUCGGGAACUGUGAGACAGGUGCUGCAUGGCUGUCGUCAGCUCGUGUUGUGAAAUGUUGGGUUAAGUCCCGCAACGAGCGCAAC